AGCAGCCGCGGUAAUUCCAGCUCCAAUAGCGUAUAUUAAAGUUGUUGCAGUUAAAAAGCUCGUAGUUGAAUUUCGGGAUCAAUAUGUCGGUCGUGCCUUGGUACGUACUGGUAUCAUUGGUCUCUCCUUUCUGACGAACCAUGAUGUCAUUAAUUUGGUGUUAUGGGAAGUUAGGACUGUUACUUUGAAAAAUUGAGUGUUUAAAGCAGGCUCACGCUUGAAUACAUUAGCAUGGAAUAAUGAAAUAGGACGUUUGAUUCUAUUUUGUUGGUUUCUAGGAUCGACGUAAUGAUUAAUAGGGAUAGUUGGGGGCAUUAGUAUUCAAUUGUCAGAGGUGAAAUUCUUGGAUUUAUUGAAGACUAACUACUGCGAAAGCAUUUGCCAAGGAUGUUUUCAUUAAUCAAGAACGAAAGUUAGGGGAUCGAAGACGAUCAGAUACCGUCGUAGUCUUAACCAUAAACUAUGCCGACUAGGGAUCGGAUGAUGUUAAUUUUUAAUGUA
rnacentral:rRNA from 1 species